rnacentral:rRNA from 1 species
AACAGAGGCCUCGAGCGUUAGGCGGAAUCACUGGGCUUAAAGCGUGUGUAGGCGGGCCCGUAAGUGUCUUGUGAAAUCCCACGGCUCAACCGUGGAACUGCUGGGCAUACUGCGGGUCUUGGGCCAACUAGGGGCAGCCGGAACAAGCGGUGGAGCGGUGAAAUGCGUAGAUAUCGCUUGGAACGCCGAAGGUGAAAACAGGCUGCUGGGGUUGCGCCGACGCUGAGACACGAAAGCCAGGGGAGCAAACGGG